CACCGCGGUUAUACGAGAGGUCCAAGUUGUUAGCCUCCGGCGUAAAGAGUGGUUAAAGUACAAGACAUAAAACUGAGGUCGAACACCUUCAAGGCAGUUAUACGCUCCCGAAGGCAUGAAGCACAAUCACGAAAGUAGCCUCACCCCACUUGAACCCACGAAAGCUAAGACACAAACUGGGAUUAGAUACCCCACUAUGCUUAGCCCUAAACAAUGAUACUUACAUACAUCCACCAUCCGCCCGGGUACUACGAGCAUUAGCUUAAAACCCAAAGGACUUGGCGGUGCUUUAAAACCAUCUAGAGGAGCCUGUUCUAGAACCGAUAACCCCCGUUAAACCUCACCCCUUCUUGUUUAUCCCGCCUAUAUACCACCGUCGUCAGCCUACCCUGUGAAGGACAAAUAGUAGGCAAAGUUGGCACAGCCCAAAACGUCAGGUCGAGGUGUAGCGUAUGAAGGGGGAAGAAAUGGGCUACAUUCUCUACCUAGAGAAUAACGAACGGUGUAAUGAAACAUACACCUGAAGGAGGAUUUAGCAGUAAGCAAGAAAUAGAGUGUCUCGCUGAAACCGGCCAUGAAGCGCGCACACACCGCCCGUCACUCUCCCCAAGCUACCUUCUGAAUAUAGCUAAUAAAACAUCCCACACAAAGGGGAGGCAAGUCGUAACAUGGUAAGUG
rnacentral:rRNA from 1 species